rnacentral:rRNA from 1 species
AUACGGAGGAUCCGAGCGUUAUCCGGAUUUAUUGGGUUUAAAGGGAGCGUAGGCGGACGCUUAAGUCAGUUGUGAAAGUUUGCGGCUCAACCGUAAAAUUGCAGUUGAUACUGGGUGUCUUGAGUACAGUAGAGGCAGGCGGCAUUCGUGGUGUAGCGGUGAAAUGCUUAGAUAUCACGAAGAACUCCGAUUGCGAAGGCAGCCUGCUGGACUGUAACUGACGCUGAUGCUCGAAAGUGUGGGUAUCAAACAGGAUUAGAUACCCUGGUAGUCCACACAGUAAACGAUGAAUACUCGCUGUUUGCGAUAUACAGUAAGCGGCCAAGCGAAAGCGUUAAGUAUUCCACCUGGGGAGUACGCCGGCAACGGUGAAACUCAAAGGAAUUGACGGGG